AGCGGCGUGGCAGCCCGCCUGCCCGCUCGCCUGGGCCUGACGCCCACGCGGAACUUCGUUCGACGGGGCGAAGGAGCCCCCUGCUGGUCAGACAGUGGCAACGGCGCAGCGGCGGCCGCGUCUUCCCAAAGAUCCGGGGAGGAUCCCAGAGAACACCGCCCAUCUCACCUAAGUGAUUCUGAACCAGUGAUGAAAUCCAGCUGGAUCUAUCUGGCUCGGGCGAUCUGAUAGGGCCGGUGGUGGGAGACUCUGCCCACCCACCCAAACAUCAUCACGUCCCAUUUUUGAACCUCUGCACAUACGCAGAAGACUCUGCUCAUGCAUGGAGGAGGCGCGCACGAGCGUAGCAAGGUUUCGUACCUUUAAGCCAGAUUUGGAGACAUCAUGAAUGGGAAUCAUAUUCAUCCUAAGGAGAGAAAAAAAUCAGAAAUACAAAAAUGGUUUAUUUGCAAUGUUUGAAACUGAUUUCAUAUAUAAUCCCUGGAAAGCAACAUCUUUUAUUAUCUCAAGAGACAAAAUGAUUUUAAAUAAGCUUGGGAAGAGGGAGGUGCCAUGCAUUUCAUAUUUCCUGUUCUCUUUAAUUCUUUCCUUUUAAAUAUCGAAAGCCACUAAGUACUUCAAAGCUAGCUCAUUUCGUCUGUGUUCUACCUCGAUCUAUUGCAGGAUGAUAUUACAACUUCCUUAGCCUGUUUGGAAGCAUUAAGGCUGGAGGUAUAAAGUAGGUGGUGGAGAGUGAGUUAUGAUGAUUAGAUUGCAUGUGGCUCAGCAGAUACUCAAACAUAGCCUCAAAAAUUUAACAAGGAGCAACAGCAGUGACUUCUUAGUCUGGUAUUCUGGAAAGCUGAACAGAUAUCUCAGAGGAAGGAAGUAGAAAACCACUAGUUAUCUAUUUCCUUUUCUACUUAUGACUAUAACUUUGUUGCUUGUAUCUUUAGGAUUUAUAUUGUUUAUUUAGUUUCCUAGUAUGAUUUAUGUUGAUUUCUUAUUUAGUGUCCUAUGACUAUUGCUAAGAGUUGUAUCUUAUGAUUCAUGAUCAGUGUAUUUAUGAUUACUAUGAUCUUGAUUUAUCACUUAUAUCUUUUAUGUACACUGAGAGCUUAUGCACCGAAGGCAAAUUCUUUGUGUAUCCAAUCUUUAUUGGCCAAUAAAGAAUUCUGUUCUA